GCUACACAUCUUAUGGAAUGACUCACGAGUUCUCCUUCACUGAUUAAUCCUUUUCCUCAUCCCUUCCUCCCCCUCCCAUCUGCCCUAAGAACAAAGAGCUUGUAAACCAGUAAAUUUGGCAGAGCUCAAGAGCUCUGGGCCGUGAGCAAGCCUCCGAUAUUCUGGUCCCCUGAACCCGCCUUUUAAAUGCUUAUUCUGUCUCUUUCUAACUCCUAUGUCUCCACCAGACUCAGGGUACCCACUGGGUGGUGUGGGGCUGGUUUCCCUAACAUUCCCCACCAAAUAAAGCAGCUCCAACCUUCUAGAUGGUUGCUCAGCUCAGAAGUCUUAGAGAAAUUCUGAUGCCUCUCCUCACAUUUGCUCUGUCGGCAAAUCCUGGUGUCACAAGAGGGCUCAGGAGGGUUUCUGGAUGCCAACGAGACCCCAGCCACAGCCGGUCCCCAGAUUCUUGACAUCAUCACAAGAAAGAAUUCACAGAUCGCUUAGCUCCAUCCAACAUGGAAAGGGAUCAGACACGGGCAUCAUUGCCAGAUGAUAAUCCCUGAUGGUCAUCUUGGAUGCUGGCCACCACAGUUACAUUUGAGAUGGUGCACAAGAAGGC
rnacentral:lncRNA from 1 species